rnacentral:misc_RNA from 1 species
AAGUCGUAACAAGGUUUCCGUAGGUGAACCUGCGGAAGGAUCAUUAACACGUUAUCCACGUAUCUACCUUCUGUGAACUUAUUUUUUGUUUGUAGUUUUCUCAGGUAUGUCUAAGGGAGCAGAUGACCAUGUCGUUUGUUUUUGUAAAAAAAAACUCACGUUCUGCUUGCCUAGCCACCUUUUGCUGAGUGCUAGUGUAUUGAGGUUAUUCCAUUCUUAAAAACAAUGAGUUUAGCCCUGCUAGCCCAAACACUCCUUAGGGAUGGGUAUCUGCGAGAACUCGAAUCAUGGUGGUUAUUAACCUAUUAACCCCUUUUUCUUUUUUUUAAAUUGUCUUAGUGAGUGCUCAUCCUGGAUUUUUUCAGGGUUGACCUCCCCUAAAAAAAAUAACACUAUACAACUCUUAGCAACGGAUAUCUCGGUUCU